rnacentral:rRNA from 16 species
AGACCCGAAACCCGGUGAUCUAGCCAUGGGCAGGUUGAAGGUUGGGUAACACUAACUGGAGGACCGAACCGACUAAUGUUGAAAAAUUAGCGGAUGACCUGUGGCUGGGGGUGAAAGGCCAAUCAAACCGGGAGAUAGCUGGUUCUCCCCGAAAGCUAUUUAGGUAGCGCCUCGUGAAUUCAUCUCCGGGGGUAGAGCACUGUUUCGGCCAGGGGGCCAUCCCGGCUUACCAAUCCGAUGCAAACUGCGAAUACCGGAGAAUGUUAUCACGGGAGACACACGGCGGGUGCUAACGUCCGUCGUGAAGAGGGAAACAACCCAGACCGCCAGCUAAGGUCCCAAAGUCAUGGUUAAGUGGGAAACGAUGUGGGAAGGCCCAGACAGCCAGGAUGUUGGCUUAGAAGCAGCCAUCAUUUAAAGAAAGCGUAAUAGCUCACUGGUCGAGUCGGCCUGCGCGGAAGAUGUAACGGGGCUAAACCAU